GGGCUUGGGGACACCAUGGACACCUUGGAGAAGGACCCGUUUUUGGGAGCAAGGACAACUUCCUGGGGCUGGGAGUGUUUGUGGACACGUAUCCCAACGAGGAGAAGCAGCAGGAGGCUCAGAAGAGGAGGUACAGCCCUGGAAACCAGGUACUGCCUCCUGCUGUCCCACCUGGAGCUCCCCGUUCCCACCUCCAGGAACCCGGGAGAGGCUGCAUGGACGUGGAGUGGGGGCUCGGUGCCGGAUCGGUGGGACACGAUCCUGAGGGAUGGACCUUGGCGUCAUCCCGGUGGUG
rnacentral:lncRNA from 1 species